rnacentral:rRNA from 1 species
ACCGAUCAGGCUGUUGGUGAGGUAAUGGCCCACCAAACCUGUAACCGGUACGGGCUCUGAGAGGAGGAGCCCGGAGAUGGGUACUGAGAAAAGGACCCAGGCCCUAUGGGGCGCAGCAGGCGCGAAACCUCUGCAAUAGGCGAAAGCCUGACAGGGUUAUUCUGAGUGACUUUCGCUAAGAAAGUCUUUUGACAUCUCUAAAAAUGGUGUAGAAUAAGGGGUGGGCAAGUCUGGUGUCAGCCGCCGCGGUAAUACCAGCACCCCGAGUGGUCGGGACGAUUAUUGGGCCUAAAGCAUCCGUAGCCGGUUUUACAAGUCCUCCGUUAAAUCCAACUGCUUAACAGAUGGGCCGCGGAGGAUACUAUAAGACUAGGAGGCAGGAGAGGCAAGCGGUACUCAGUGGGUAGGGGUAAAAUCCGUUGAUCCAUUGAAGACCACCAGUGGCGAAGGCGGCUUGCCAGAAUGCGCUCGACGGUGAGGGAUGAAAGCUGGGGGAGCAAACCGGAUUAGAUACCCGGGUAGUCCCAGCUGUAAACGAUGCAGACUCGGUGAUGGACUAGCUUAAUGCUAGUCCAGUGCCGCAGGGAAGCCGUUAAGUCUGCCGCCUGGGUAGUACGGUCGCAAGACUGAAACUUAA